GUAAACAUCCCCGACUGGAAGCUGUAGGACACAGCUGAGCUUUCAGUCAGAUGUUUGCUGCUGCCGGCUCUCACAGCCUGCGUGAGUACACUGAGGGGUGGCGCUGGGGAUGCUGGGAAGAUGUGGGCAGCCUCCCUUCACUGGCCUCUCUGACACAGCAUAUAUGUUAAAAGUAGGGUGCCGAUGGAAUAGACAAUAUGAUUGCUGUAUGUAUAUGGGUGACUAUGACCAGUGUAAUUCUACAAUCUGUACAAUCAGAAAAAUGAGAAAUUAUACCCCAAUGAUUCAAAUGUAUGAAUUGCCAAGAUCAUUGUAAUAACAUGUGUAGCUAAUAAAAAUUGAAAAAAAGUAGGGUGCCGAAUUAGGUGCUGCUGGACUUUAAAGAAGUUAGUUUUUAAAAGUUGGGUUUUUUUUUUUUUCCACUCUUGGGUUCUAUCUGUGUUUUUACCCUGUCACAAGUGUUUAUUCUUUUAACCUUUCUGAGUAGGCUGGGGUUAGCUUCCUAGUAGUUCACAGCCUUAUUUUCUUAUCGACAAAUUCUCUAGAAGGUACUUAACCACUACUGCCUAGCUGCAUACAGUCCAGGGAUUUCAGUCUUUUCUGUAGUGUUGAGAUGCACCCAUCCCUUUCCCUUCCUCCUCUUUUCCCUUGCUCUUCUCCUCCUCAGUGAUGCUACACUCUGAAUCAGAACUCCUCUCAGCAGCUGUAAGUCUUCAAGCCGAUACUCCUGUUUGCAGCAUUUGCAAAUGGUCACAAGUGCCUCUGUUUAAAGUGUACUUUGCUAACUAUUACCAGGUAUCACUGGCUUUGGGCUGCCUUGUGGGCAGGUGUGCUCUGAAUAAUCCAGAACUUCUCAUGUAGAUGACAUUCAGCAUGAACUAAUUAAUAAUGUACAAUUUUCAGUUUUCUUAAGUUUUAAAAACUUGUUUUCUCAUUUCUGUUUUUCUUUUAAUUACUAGAAAACAUGUAUUUUAUUGACAUUUUCUCUUCAAUAAGACAUUGGUAUUUUUAUCACUUAUUAAGAAAUUGCCAGGCAUCGAAAUGUGUUAGUUUCAGUACAUAAUUAAGGCAAAAGAUAAAAAUUCUUGUUAAUAUAUUUUAUAUGCCUAUCUUAUUUGAUUAGAUUACAGACUUACCAAGGACAGAUUUAGCUCUGUUUUGGUUUCCUGCUGUAAACAUCAGGUAAAGCACCUUGAUAUAGGGCUCAAAUAAUUGUAUUAUUUUAUUGCAGCAGUAUCUACUAUUUGCCUUCUUAAGCAAAUAAAUGACAGUUUGUCAUGGUGAAGUGAGUCCACAUACAUCUGUGCUACAGCAUUUAUUUCUAGAAAGGUAAUGUGUGUACAAGACUUACAUGGGUGGAAGGAAUUAGUUACUCCAGAUAAGGUAACUUUUUAACUUAUAAAGUACAAUUUUUAGACUUAAUGAUUAGCAUGCAUGAAGCAUUCCUUCCUAUGAACUCUUAAUAAAGCAGAUUUGUUGUAUAUUCUGUGACCCUAUGUUUUAGCACAUUGGAAGCCUUCAGUUCCAAAUAGCAAUUGGAUAGAGCCAUUGCUUGGAACCCAGAAGUGCUCCCUGCCAGAGAUAGAAUAUAAUGUGUAAUCUGUUAAUAGAAUUUUUUGUUUGGCCAGGUGACAUUGUGUUUUUCCCAUAAAAACUUGGUAACCUUAAAAUCCUCUGAGAUGAAUAGAAAUUGCACAAUUUAAUUAUUUGCAUAGCUGAAUUUGAAAUGUUUUUCAAAAUGAUAAGCCAAAUCUAAGCUAAAAGAAGGAUAGGUAUUCUGCAUUAAGCUGUUAUACUCUGCCCAGCUAGUCCAGUCAUCUUUAGAUGCUGCAGGAUUAAUGGCACAAUCUGUUAUGUAACAUUUGCUGUAUAUUAUUCUGCCCUGGUGAAGUCAAAGACCAUGUUAGCUUUAAUUCUGAAUGUCCUUGCUUCAUGUACUUAAGUACAAACCUUUAGUCAUUUGCAGUUGAUUUCUUUUUAUUUUAAUUUUGAAGAACCACAAACUUGCUAUUGGCUUACAAGGUUAACACAUGACUGUUUAGAACAAAUGCCUUAAAAUAUUAGAUUAUCAGUAUUAAUAGUAAAUUAAUAACAACUUGUUUCCUUAUCCUUUAACUUAGAUACUUAGAGAAAAGUGUGUGGUCUUAAUUGACAAGAUUUAGAAAACUCAGAAAUUCUUUACUAUUUAAGAUUGGCCUGGGGCUUAAGAUUGGUGGGUCCAGUUAAUAUUUUUUUUAAAAAAGUACUCAACACCAUUCUGCAGAUAACAUGUUUCCUUAGUAUAUGCUUUGACAUUACUUAGAGGUUCUUUCUUUAAGUAAACAACCACAAAAUUAUGUUUUCGAGUCAGCUUUAUACAGGAUAUUCUUGGUUAGAAAAUGGUCAUAGAAAUACAUGAUUGGUUAGAAAAAUUGAGGCUUGGAGGGAAAAAAAGAAAUACAUGAUUGGUUAAGUCCUCAUUGGUGUUAGUGCCUGAGUCACUUCUCUAUAGAGGCAGAGGGUUGAAGGGCCUAGCACAAGCAAAGCCCCAGGUUCUGUCCCUAGCAGUGUUGGGGUGACCCAGAAGUGGACCAUGAACCUUUAAACCCCCUUAUGCCCAUUGCAUGUAACAUGUCCUAGCUGAUUCCUUCCCACUCCUAUGAUUAGACAACAUUUUUCAUUUGAUGAAUGUGCCAUUAUUUGCUGUGUAUCUCAGGAAAGUUUUGUUCUUCAUUUGAAUCGGUCUAAGCUUAAUUACUUACUAAAAUUAUACUAUUUUAGAUAGUCUCUGCCAUAGUUUCCCCAACCUGAUUAAUUGGGGGCAGACAUUUGGUCUAUAUUUGUCCUUGCUUCUGUAGCAUAUUACACACUUCCAUAUUACACCUCUGUUUUUGCUUUAGCUUUGCAUUAUAUUUGAACAAACCAUCCACUGGUUUUCAGAAACUAGUGUGCAUCAAAAUUACUUGGAGUGCUUAAUUAAAACACAUAUUGCUGGGUCCUGCAAGAAGAGCUGCUCAUUCAGUACUGUGGGGCUUGGAAACGUGUUUUCCUAAGUUCCCAACUGCUGCUGCUGCUCUCAAAACCCUGGAACUCAUCUUACUUUCCCUCUUAGGUACUGUGCCCAAUUAGAGUCUAAAGUAUGACACAGAAAGUCCCACCCCACCCCAAGAAAAGUAGUCCAAAAGUUUGAUUGUAAAAAGGUACAUUGGAAAUUUGAAGCCCUUUUACCCCUCCCCCCUCAAAAAAAUAUAGCUUUUGUUAACAGCUCUGAUGUAAACAAAUGCCAAACUGGGAGUAUUAUGUCCCUUUCCAACUAUUCGCUCUUCUAAACGAACAGCUGGCUUCUGUGGUUAAGUCCCUGACAAUUGCUAGCAGGGCACUUUCUGUCCUUUAGCAUUUUCACAGUAGAACUAAUAAAGUAAAACAACAACAAAAAAAAGUCUAUUAAUUGUUUAGCCCACAAAAACCUAAUCGAGCUUGAUGUGGCGGUGCACACUUACAAUCCCAUCUACUCAGGAGGCUGAGGCAAGAAGAUUGAAAGUUGGAGGCCAGAUUCAACAAUUUUAGCAAAACCCUGACUCAAAAUUUUAAGAAAGUUCUGCAUACAUAGCUCAGAGAGGCAUAAUGCACCAAGGUUCAUCCCUAGUACCAGCAGACUUUCAAAUAAAUAAAUUUUUCAAAACGGCUGGAGCUAUAGCACAGUAGUGGAGUGCUUGCUUGCCUAGCACAACUGAGGCCCUGGGUUCAAUCUACAGUUCAGAAAAAGAAAAAACUAAGAAGAGUAAAAAUCUAAUUGAACAUGUUUGCAAAUAUAAGCAAAAGAAAAAAUGUGCUUGCAGCAGUAUUAAUUAAAACAGAAAAACAAUAUGUUUAUGGAUAUGUGAAGAUGUGCAUUUAAUCUUGAAAACCCAUACUUUAAGAAACAGCCGUAAGGAGCCAGGGUCCAGGACCUGGGGUGUCUUUGAUAUGCCAAAGAUGUUUAAAGUUGGCUGGCAAUGUUUAUUAUAUUUAAUAUUGCUUCCAAAUUUGAGAAUUUCCUCUUCUUUGAUAUGUGAUAGGGCCACUUUUAAUGCUUAGCAGAAGUACUUGCAGUUAAUCAGAGGAAGGAAGAUGGAGAAAGACUUUGAGGCACCUUAAUAACACUUGGUACAGAAGAUGGGAAGAGGUGAAGAGAACGUGAGUUAUGAAUGGGGAGAGAAGUGACUGAGCUCCUCACGGGUAUUUCAUUAACUUUGUCGUUGACCCAGAUCAGAAAUCUUAAAGACAAAUGGUGGUCAGUGCUUUAUAUUGCCCAUCAAAUGGGUUCCUGUAAAAACAGGUCCAGUUGUUUGAAAGGGAAUGAUGGAGAAAGAUGGCAGGCUGAGAAAUCAGUAGCAUUAGAUUUAGAGCACCAACAGGCGCUAUAAAUUCCUUCAGUGAAAAUAGUAUAUCUCUCUGCCUUUUCCUUGGAUUCUACAUUUUGAGUUGACUUUGCCUCAUUUGUACGGAUUGCUGUGCCUAUUUUUUCAACAGAUUCUACAAAGUUAUAUUUUUAGAAAAUAAAUUUGUCAUGUACCUUAAUGUAAAUUUGAGUCUCCAGUAAAGAACCAUUAUAAACAUAGUUAAGAGUUCCAUAAAUCCUGCUGUAAACCAAGUUGCAGUUUAUGUAAACAUCCUACACUCAGCUGUAAUAUAUGGAUUGGCUGGGAGGUGGAUGUUUACUUCAGCUGACUUGGAAUAUCAACCAAUUAACAUUGAUAAAGGGUGUGAUGAGAACCUAUACAGAAGCUUGAUUUUUAUUUAAGCUUGAUUUUUCUAAGUUACUGUUGUGUCUUAUCCAUUUUAUUACUAAAUCUCUGACAUGACAUAAGGCUCUGGUAUCAGGACAAAAUAGUGUCCUCCUUUGGGAGUUGUGGUUAACAUAGGCAUUGUAGUUUAAUAAGCAUAGGUUUUGACAUCAGAUUUAGUCUCUGUUUGGACUCUACUAGUGAGUUGGCUACAAGAAGCAGUUUUGAACCUCGAUUUUCUCAUCUACAAAAUAGGUAUGGCAGUGUUUCAUUAAUACAGUACUUGUCAUAUUAAGAAUUCAAUAAAUAAUUAUUAUUACUGCAGUUGUGUUUAGGUAUUCAAUAAAUGGUACUAUAAUGUUUAAGUAUACUUUGUUUUAAGGUAAAGAUGUUGCCAACUUUUUGAUUAAAUAUACAUGGUUUGAAUAUUUGAAAUCACAGUAAUUUACUGGUAAAGAGUUUCGAAGACCAACUUCUGGAGCUGUGUUACUUUUGGUAAGUUAUUUUCCUGUGCCUCAGUUUCCUCAAUCUGCUAAAUUAUAGUUAUGACAGUACCUGAUAGUAUUAUUGGGACUAAGUAAGUUAAUACCAUUAAUGUGGGCAGUAUGAUUCCUUGUACACACUCAGCUUUUGACAAAUGGUACCCAUUGUUGUUAUUUUAAAAGCAUAUUUAUCACCCAUUACUUUUUCCAGAGUGGGUUGUGCCAUAUAUUUCUAAACAAUUUUUAAAGAUAAGCUAAUACCCCAUAAUUAGUUAUAGAUAUGUAUUGUUUGAGCAAAAUGAUACUUCCACAUUUGUGCCUUUAUUAGAAAUACUCAGAAUUAAUUUCAUAUAGUUUUGUUUUCCAAUUCCAUGAAAUGAACCUUUUCCAAUUCUGGUGACAUAUCCACAUUCUUUGUAGGUAGAAAGCAAAACAACAGCUGCAAAACCAGAAUCAUGUUAAGAGCUUACAUUACUCCAGCAGCCUGACAGGUAUCUUAAGUUCUUGCCAGUGCCUACCUCCAGAAUUAGAAUUCGCAUUUUGUGCUGCUUCUAUGGAGGAUGUCUACUUACUAUAAGAAAAAUAAUUAAAUAAAAAUGUGAAAUGAAGGCAUGGGACUUGUUUCUGAAGUACCCAUCACAAGUGACUCAAGUGAUGCAUAUUAAAAGCAAAAAAAAAGUGCUUUUUUCCUAUUCUCACACAACACUCAACUUGCUUCUAUCCCCAAAUGUAUGUGAAGAUUUCUCCCCACCAGCAAUCAAGGAGGUUUUUUUUGCACAUUUUCUGUUGGACAUCAGCUAGGUAUCCUUUAAUUAUGAUACUGCAUACCUGGACAUAAUGCCAGAUCUCACAGGUUGGAGGAUAAGUCCUACAAACUGUCUCCCCACUUCACAUGCCACCUAGCAAGCAUAGUUUGUGGCCUGUGCCUCUGAAGUACUGGCUAUAAACCUGGGUUCCCACUAUCCCUUCUCAGAUGUGAUUAAUUUGCUAGAAUGGCUCAAGAAAUGAGGAAAAGGCUUUAUUCAUAUUUACCAAUUUAUUAUAAAGGAUAUUACAAAUCCACAUGGAAGAGAUGCACAGGGCAAAACAAUGGAAAGUACAAGUGGAGUGAAAUCCUGCUUACUCUGGAUUUGCACCCUCCAGAAACUGCAUGAUCAGCUAUGUAGAAGUGCAUCUGAACCCUUUCUCAUGAAGGCUUCAUUACGUAGGGCAGUCCUGGAAAUUGGUGAGUGGGGCACAGAGUUUUGACUUUAUUCUGAAGCUGUGACCCUAGCCACCAGUCAUCUCAUUGGCUACUGCAGACAUUCAUCACUCUCCAGAGAUUCCAAAGUUCUAGAAGCUCUGUGUCUGCAAACAGGAAUGAAGACCAAAUAUAAUUUCACAGUUAUCACAAACAUGUCCUUGAGAAUUAGACUGCCAAUCUAAUCUGUGCUCCAUCACUUAACAUUGGUGUGACCUUGAGUAAAUUGCUGAACUUCUUUGGAUAACUUCUUUGUAAAAUAAACAACCAACAUCAGGUUGUAGGGUUGAGAGAGAGAGAGAGAGUUGUAGGGUUGUGAAGGACCCAGCACAGUUAAGGUGUUUAGUGGAUACUAUUUCUUUUGCUUUUAGGCUCAAAUGAGCUCCCUCAGUGUCCAUUCCCAACCAUGAUGUUUAUCUUAAAUCAGUAUUAAAGUCAUCCACCUUGAACCUUUAGGGUACAUUAUAAGAUUGAUAGUUUUUAUUAUGACCCCAAGUCAAACCGUUUUCCCACAAAUAAUCAAGCCUUUAGCCUCAUAUUGAAUAAAAUUGUAUGAAAUGUCUAAUUUUUAUUAUGGUUUGCAUAUGAGCUGUGUCCCCCCACUCCAUGUUAAUGCAGGAAUAGUCAGAAUAAAAAUGAUUACAUUAUGAAAGAUGUAACCUAUGUAACAACCUAUGGCUGUUUCAGUCCGUCUUGUUUGAAUGGAGUAAUUGGACAUGUGGGUAUGGCAGGAGGUGGGUCACUGGGGCUGCCCUGGAAGGGUGUAUCUUCCCUGUAGCCCCUCUACCCACUGCUUCCUGGCUGCCAUGAGCAAAGCAGCAACCCUUCACUGCACCCUGCCUUAUGUCAUGUGCUUCGGAACAGUGGAAUAGCCCUCUGUGAACUGAGUCCUUGGAAACUAUAAGCCCCAAAUAAGUUGUUUUUGUCAGGUAUUUUAGUCACAGUGAUGCAAAGCUGAAUAACAGUCUUGUAUAGUUUUAAAAAAAAAAAUAGUCAUAGUCAGCUCAGACAAGAAGGUAGAAGACUUCCUAGGACUGACAUACCAAAAGAUUGUAUCAGAGUGCCUAUUAGAAACCUCAGUGUGGGCCAGGCCGUAUUGGAUGUUGGAAUCGUCAGGACAGUAGAUUACAAAGUCUGAAGGGUGAGAGAUGAUGCUCUGAGUAGACUAGAACAGAAUACAUUAGAAAGUCUUUUUCCAAAAUUGUGUUGGAUAUCCUAGGAUUUGAUUCAUGCCUUGUGUUUAUCUCUGCAUGUAAUAGGUUGAGUAUGGAAGAAGCAAUAUGCAUAAAAAUUGGCAAACUUGUUUGCUCAUUUUCCAACGUUUCCAGAUCAUUGCUUAUAAAACACUGGUAUUUACAGUAAAUAUAUUGUUUUAAAUAUUUGCUAACCCUACUAAAUUGUGUUUCUGUAUGCAAUAGUCACUUAAUGACUUCAUCCUCCAGUAAGUUGGUAUGUUAUUUGAAAUUGCUUUUAGAGCUUAGGGGUUGUUUCAGAGAGUUAAAGGCAAAAGCGAGAAGAGAAUAGCAUUUUCAGGACAAAGUGAUCCAGCAGACCCUUAAUAAAAUAUGAGAUAUGUCUGUCUUUACUACACAACCGUUGACUAAAGCACUCUGACCUCAUGUCCUUGUAUGUAAAUGAAAAAUGUAUAGUCUUGUAAUUUCCUUUUUCUAGGUAAAUCCAUCCAAUUAUUUAUUUUAUGUUUAUUUGUAUGUGUCCGUAUUUGCAUGAGCACACUAUUAAGCAGAAGAAGUUCUGGGUUUUAGCUGCCUGGGCUCAUUUGAAGGCCCAUUAGAUCAUUCAGAUAAGUCACUUAGCACACUACGUGGCACAUAAGAAGCACUCAAGAAAUAUCCCACUCACUUUAAAUCUCCAGUCUUAAUAGUACCUUGAUGUUGGCCCUCCUAAGUUAAGUUGAUCUUCUCUUUGUGACACAAAUGUGUCUAGUAUUUACUAAUGAUAAAUUGCUCUCACUAGUGCUAAAUUUAUUACUAAUUUAUCUGCAUGUCUACUUCCCUUCUCAGAUUAUGAGCCCCUUGAGAACAAAAAUGGGUUUCUUUUUCAUAAGUUCAUUGUCUAGCAUGGUGAAAUUUUACUAUUUUAAAAUGUGUUUGUUUUCCCUUCUCAGGGGAAGAUAAUCCUUGAGCCAAAGAGACAAAUAGGAAUGUUACCAAAAAAUCUGGCCAUGUUCUCAAAUCACUUUUCCCCUACUUGCCUCUUCACAUUUUUUUUUAUAUAAGAAAAGAAAGUAAUAAAAUGACUGCCAAAUUAAGACAAACUGUCUACUAAACAUGAGUUAAAAUGCUAUGAUCAGAAACUGAAUAAAGGCAACAUAAUGACACUAUUAAAAAGUGGUGUUCUUGAAAUUAAAAGCCCCAGUUCACAUUAUAGGCCUGCUACUUUUUAGCUAUAUGACAACAAGAAAGCUCUGUUUUCUCUUUGACUAUAAAGUAGGGUUUUUCACUAUUUGACAGUUAGUGGUUAAUAUGAGAUAAUAUUCUUACAACGCUAGCACUGUGCCUGGUAAAUAGAGACUCUCAAAUAUUUUCUGAAUAGAGUUAGCUUAUAUUAUACUCUAUACAUUUUUCUCAAAUUUAUAGAGUAUUAUACUCUAUAAAUUUGAGAAAAAUCUAGUUUAUUUCACCAGGUACCAUAAAUUUACUGCUUGAAGUAUUGUUCACAUUAGUUGAUACUCUGGCUUUAUCUUGAAAAACAAAACUUAAAAAGUGACCAAGUCAUUUUACUUCCAUCAUGUUAAUAUUGUGGGGGAGAGUAAUGAAGAUCAAAUGGCAAAAACAUACUGACGAUUCAGUUGUGUGAUUAUUUUCUGAACACACGAAGGUAGACCUUUACUUCAUACUACUCUCCUAAAGUGAAAGCAGUGAGAACUCAAGUCAUGCAUGGGAAACUUGACCACCAUUGAACUAUCACUGCCAUUAUGUGAGAGUUUUGUCCAAAUCAUUUCCCAGUAAUCAUGAUGGAAAGCAACUCUUAAAAUCCCCUCCUCAUUUCUUCUCUCCUUAUUACUGCUAAAUAAACAUUUUCUUUCAACCUUG